UGUAUAUUAAUUCGUUCUAUAAGCUAUCUAUAUAUAAUAUUAAAAUAUACGGCGCUGAUAUUGUUCCAGUGUUAUCGACGUGAAAGAAAUUCAUGGUUGCUAUUAGUUUUAAUAUAUCAUAAUCGAUAAAUAAUAUUAUCGUUUUGGAAACGGCGACUGUAACGCAGUCUUUAUUCAGAAAAUGAUAAAAGGGCCAAAAAUUAUUGGCCCUCCCCCCCUAGUAGAAAUACUCUGGCUAUGUGUCUGAGAUCACGACAGAUUAAAGACUAACCGGAAAAGAUAUGGUUAAGAUUGAUUUAAAUUUUAAACUAGUAUUAUCAAUAGAACAUAUAUCAUAUUAUGCACUACAGCGC